rnacentral:rRNA from 1 species
CCCUUAGAUGUUCUGGGCCGCACGCGCGCUACACUGAUGCGUUCAACGAGUAUACAACCUUGAUCGAUAGGUCUGGGUAAUCUUCUGAAUGCGCAUCGUGCUAGGGAUAGAUUGUUGCAAUUUUCAAUCUUGAACGAGGAAUUCCCAGUAAGCGCGAGUCAUAAGCUCGCGUUGAUUACGUCCCUGCCCUUUGUACACACCGCCCGUCGCUACUACCGAUUGAACGGUUUAGUGAGGGCCUCGGAUUGGUCUCGGCCCGCUCUUUACCGGGCGGCGCCGUUGGUCGAGAAGACGCUCGAACUUGAUCGUUUAGAGGAAGUAAAAGUCGUAACA